UCGGUGGUUCUCAACUUUUUUCACUUUCAGUGCACCUUAGUCAUUUUUAUAGUGAUCAGAAAAGCAACAACCCAAACACUGAGCUUUUUGUUAUUCUGAUCGAUGUGUAUCGCUAAAAACAACAACUAAAAAGCGCUUUAUCAAUCUUCCUUUGCCUUCACCCUCGAUGUAGAAGUGAUACUCAAACCUAAAAAGAUUUAGAACCUCUGACAUAGAGCACAAGGCUUUAGUUCAAGGUCGAAGCCUUGUGCUGAAUCAUGUGAUCAAGAAAAUAAGAAGAGUUAUUAAAACAGCCUGGAGAUUAAACAAAACUAUUUGCUCACCUUACCCCUCCCCCCCCCUCUCCAAUCUUAUUCUGUUACUUAACCCUUAACGUGCUGAGCUUUUUUUUACAAUGAGUGCAUACAAAAUGGAAAUACAAUUCUAUUGUUUAGAGGCUAAACUACCAAACGCGUCUUAAGGGUUAAACAUAAACAUUAGAUCGUAUUGCAAACAUGAAGAAAACAUGACCAUUUUUCAUCCUGUUUUGUUUUUCCAUUACGAGGCUAUCGGAGAUAAUCAUUUAUUGCCGGAUAGUUAUAAAUACCAAUUAGAUGUAUCCGGUGAAAGGGAUGUGUUGAUUUGUUUUGUAAUUUAGAUACCUUUCCUGCACCUUCCAGCAAGUUAAAAUAAAAUUACUUUAACUAUUUUAUUUCUAGCAUAAACUUUUUUUUUAUUUGGUUGGCAGCAGUGAUCUUUUUAUGAAAUCCUCUGGACAUUAUAUGGAGAAUUCGUCCUGAAAAUCCCCAAAAGUGCAAACAAAAAAGCAAAAUUUAAAAACAUAAAUAAACAAAACAUUUUAAGGGUAAGAACCGCAAAAUCUAUGCUAUAUAUAUUAAUACUGCAAAGUUUAGUUCCCUUUUUUCU